GACGAACGCUGGCGGCGUGCUUAACACAUGCAAGUCGAACGAAGUGGCGAACGGGUGAGUAAUACGGGGGUAACCUGCCCUCCUUUCUGGGAUAAGCCUUGGAAACGGGGUCUAAUACCGAAUAAAGGGGGAUGGGGUCGCGGCCUAUCAGCUUGUUGGUGGGGUGAUGGCCUACCAAGGCGGUGACGGGUAGCCGGCCGGAGAUGGGGACCGGCCACAUGGGGACUGAGUUACAGCCCAGACUCCUGAGGCAGGCAGCAGUGGGGGGUAUUGCACAAUGGGCGAAAGCCUGAUGCAGCGGCGCAGCGUGGGGGAUGAAGGCUGUCGGGUUGUAAAACUCUUUCGCUGUCGAAAGGGUAGGUGAGGAGGAAGCGCCGGCUAACUACGUGCCAGCAGCCGCGGUAAUAC
rnacentral:rRNA from 1 species